rnacentral:rRNA from 1 species
GAUGAACGCUAGCUACAGGCUUAACACAUGCAAGUCGAGGGGCAGCAUAAAUCUAGCAAUAGAUUUGAUGGCGACCGGCGCACGGGUGAGUAACACGUAUCCAACCUACCUAUUACUCGGGUAUAGCCUUUCGAAAGAAAGAUUAAUCCCCGAUACGAUAUUGAGUUCGCAUGAAUUUGAUAUGAAAGAUUUAUUGGUAUUAGAUGGGGAUGCGUUCCAUUAGAUUGUUGGUGAGGUAACGGCUCACCAAGUCUUCGAUGGAUAGGGGUUCUGAGAGGAAGGUCCCCCACACUGGAACUGAGACACGGUCCAGACUCCUACGGGAGGCAGCAGUGAGGAAUAUUGGUCAAUGGGCGAGAGCCUGAACCAGCCAAGUAGCGUGAGGGAUGACUGCCCUAUGGGUUGUAAACUGCUUUUAUACAGGAAUAAAGUUAGCCACGUGUGGUUAUUUGUAGGUACUGUAUGAAUAAGGACCGGCUAAUUCCGUGCCAGCCGCCGCGGUAA